CCUGCGGCAGAUUAGCUAGUUGGUAAGGUAAUGGCUUACCAAGGCUACGAUCUGUAACCGACCUGAGAGGGUGGUCGGUCACACUGACACUGAAUAACGGGUCAGACUCCUACGGGAGGCAGCAGUCGGGAAUUUUGGGCAAUGGGCGAAAGCCUGACCCAGCAACGCCGCGUGAAGGAUGAAGUAUUUCGGUAUGUAAACUUCGAAAGAAUAGGAAGAAUAAAUGACGGUACUAUUUAUAAGGUCCGGCUAACUACGUGCCAGCAGCCGCGGUAAUACGUAGGGACCAAGCGUUGUUCGGAUUUACUGGGCGUAAAGGGCGCGUAGGCGGCAGUUCAAGUCAGUUGUGAAAUCUCCGAGCUUAACUCGGAACGGUCAACUGAUACUGUUUUGCUAGAGUGCAGAAGGGGCAAUCGGAAUUCUUGGUGUAGCGGUGAAAUGCGUAGAUAUCAAGAGGAACACCUGAGGUGAAGACGGGUUGCUGGGCUGACACUGACGCUGAGGCGCGAAAGCUAGGGUAGCAAACGGGAUUAGAUACCCCGGUAGUCCUAGCCCUAAACGAUGAAUACUUGGUGUCUGGAGUAAUUUAAUUCUCCGGGUGCCGUCGCUAACGUUUUUAGUAUUCCGCCUGGGGAGUACGCACGCAAGUGUGAAACUCAAAGGAAUUGACGG
rnacentral:rRNA from 1 species